UUUCCAACCGACUUGAAAUAUUUUUUAUUCCUACGUCUUUCGGUGUCUGUUCUCACCAUUCUGCCGCUAUCCUGUCAAAAGAAUGCUUUCUAUCGAUAAAUAGCCGAGAACCGAUUUAUCCUUUUUCUCUAUCUUGUCAAAAAUAAAUCCUCUUUACUCGCUAAUUGUCCAAUUUGCUUACUCGAACAAAGGCUUCUAACGACAUUCUUUAAACUCUGUAUUUUGUCCAAAUAAUAAGAUAACAAGAUUUCGAGGAGCACAGGGAAAUUCCGCAUUUAUCAAAGGUUCUGCUGCAUAUUGCAAAAAGGGGAGAAAAGAAAAAACGGAGAAGAAAGGAAAUUUGAUUCACCCUCCUCCACGACAUUAAUAGGAGUGUCACGUACAGACCCUAUCUAUAAUCUGGUCGCGCUAAUUUCAGAGAAUAUCGAGAACGACGGAUUUUUUAAGAGUUUACCAAUGACCACGAUGCCUCCAUCCCGAAACUUCCACUUUUCCAACUAAAAUUCAUUUCACCUUUAUCUUUCUACCAUUGCGACAGACAUGCGUCACAGAAGAAGAAGUGGCCGGUCAUAUAUGACCAACGUGGCAGUCAAAGUGUUAACAUGAACUAUUUUAACACUUUAACCUCCUUGGUGCCGGCUCUGUUUCGGCUGAGACUCUCCAAUACCAUUCUUUUCGUUCAUCGCGAAUGGUAAGUUUUUCAAAUUGGUAUAAAACUGUGGGAACUUACGAAGCAAGGCAACUGACGCAACUGAGCAAGGUACCUUAUACUAAAUAACAAAUUACUGCUCAAAUAAUGAGAAAGAUUGUUGGCGAGAAAAAGCUGAUUAAUAGGUUAUCGGUCGGUAAAGUGUUAAUUGUUGACUCGAGUUAACUCGAGUUUUCAUGGCCAAACGUUGCCGACCGGCCACUGUUGGGGAUCAUACAGUGCAAUUGUUGGUCGGCAUACCUCGAGCUGUGUCUCUCGCUUAUAAGACCCGUCAAAUUGCGUCCUUUGUUGUAAACAAAAUUUCCACGUACCAAUGAAGAAUCUUUCAAUGAAUUAUACGCAGAUGUUUUAUCUGAUUGUCCGAGUGAUUGUGAAUCAAAUUGUGGUGACUUGGAAAAUGAUACUG